AUUGAACGCUGGCGGCAUGCUUUACACAUGCAAGUCGAACGGCAGCGCGGGCUUCGGCCUGGCGGCGAGUGGCGAACGGGUGGGUAAUACAUCGGAACGUGCCCAGUAGUGGGGGAUAGCUCGGCGAAAGCCGGAUUAAUACCGCAUACGACCUGAGGGUGAAAGCGGGGGAUCUUCGGACCUCGCGCUAUUGGAGCGGCCGAUGGCAGAUUAGCUAGUUGGUGGGGUAAAGGCCUACCAAGGCGACGAUCUGUAGCUGGUCUGAGAGGACGACCACCCACACUGGGACUGAGACACGGCCCAGACUCCUACGGGAGGCAGCAGUGGGGAAUUUUGGACAAUGGGCGAAAGCCUGAUCCAGCAAUGCCGCGUGUGUGAUGAAGGCCUUCGGGUUGUAAAGCACUUUUGGCGGGAACGAAAAGGACUGUGCCAAUACCACGGUUCGAUGACGGUACCCGCAGAAUAAGCACCGGCUAACUACGUG
rnacentral:rRNA from 1 species